AUCUAUUGAUUUUUAAAACCAUCAUGAAAAUGCCCACGUGUGUCUUGUAUUUUAAGUGUCACAGGUGACCUCUGCUCUGGGACUUUUUCUUGGGGUAACAUGACAGUUUGCAGUUGAUGUUACAUAAUUUUCUGCUACUCAGGAACUCAAGUCUUUGGGAAUAAGACCUAGAGAAAGUCCCCAGCUUAGAGCCCCCAGCAUCUCUCCCUGGGGAAGGACUGGUGUGGGGGCCGCCUGGGGAGAGUGGAGCUCCCUCUGCUGUGACUGUUCUCUCCUCUUCCCUCAGGCUCUCCAGCACCAAGAGGGCCGUGAAGGCGGCCUUGGCAGAUGACUUUGACACACCCAGGGUGGUUGAUGCCAUCCUGGGCCUUACACACCACGGGAAUGGACAGCUCAGGGCGUCCCUGAAGAAGCCAGGAGAAAGGCCAGACUGAAGUGACCUGCUGAAGCCUUUGUCUUUUGACAUUGAAUUCCGUUUGCCCACUGCCAUCAAGACUGCUUUUAAGGAGCUUCCGCGACAUGAUCUCUUACAGGAACCUGGAGGGCCGAGAAGUCCUGCUGUGUUUGGUGCCAUCAUCUCUUACUUUGAACAGUUUUUUGAAACUGUUGGAAUUUCUCUGGCAAAUCAAC
rnacentral:sRNA from 1 species